rnacentral:lncRNA from 1 species
AAAGAAUAUAUAUAUAUAUAUAUAUAUAUAUAUAUAUAUAUAUAUAUAUAUAUAUAUAUAUAGUUGAAAUAAGGUGAGUUUCUUUUAAAAACAAGCAAACUAGUCUACAAAAUAUAUAGCUAACUAACUAAAUCAAUGAAUAAAUAAUUAUACAUAAAUAAAUAAAUCAAAAAAUAAAUAAACAUGAUAUUAACAAAUAAAUAAAUAAUAAAUGAAAACAAACCAAUAAUAAAGCAAGUUAAUGUAGCCGUCAAACUGUAACUUGAUUGGCUCGCAAAGCCUGGUAGGGCGUGGCGUGUUGGCCAUUGUUUCGGAGAUUUUAACAGUGCACGAACAGAGAAUCAUACGAUGUACUUCUCCGAUGAAGAGCUGGACCUUUCCCUGGAGGAAACAGUGGAAGUCAAACUGAAGACGUUGGAAACCUUUGCCAUCGAGGAGAUCUCCAAGCUACAGGAGGACACCAGGGUCCUCCAGGAAGCAGCAGAGAAAGCAAUGGAGGGAGACGUGGCUGCCUUGAAGGCAGACCUGGCCUCGCUUAAAACGCUUGUUGCGGACCAAGAGCAACAGCUGCAGGAACUGAGGGAGAGGCUGGAAAGGAACAUUGGGCCUGAAGUCCUAGACAUGCCCUCAACUUCGGGAGAUGACAACAGCGCGCAGAAAAGGAAAAGAGAAGAGGAAGAGCUUGACGUCCACUUGACGGAGUUUUGGCCCGAGAACCCCGAUCCUGAUGACAUAAUGACGCCGAGACAACAGGCGUUUUUCAACUUCAUGAUGGAUCAUCUGACAGUUGUUGACCCAAGUAACCUGGAGAGUGACGCAUCCCUAUUGAAGGCGGAAGGAGUUAGACUGGCUGUGUGGACAGCUCUGUGUGCCAGACAGCUACCUGAGACAAAAGAAGAUUUACAUCAAAGAAAGGCACAAAAUUUUGCAAAACAGGGAACGUAUGAGACUUCAAAAUUUAGGUACAAAAAAAUCGUCAAAGGUUUACAUGUUUUGUGUAUUUGGUGUGAUUGUGUGUUGGGGCGUUCUGAGAGGUCUUGAGUUUUUUUUUUUUUUUUAAUUUAUUUUUUUUUUUUUUAAACAUUUAAAAUAUUUCGAAUUGAGAAAACGACAAGCUGAGGGUGUGUUGUGUUUUUCAGGGGUUCUGAGCAGCACUAGUACACUGAAAAGUGUUUAAUGCUGAACUGUUGCAAACAAUUUACUUGUGUUGAAUUUAAACAAACAAAUUAAACUUAAUAAUGUUCAACUUAAUUUGUCUGUUUAAAUUCGGGCUAAAUUGUUUACAACCACUUAACGUAAAAAAAGUUAAAGGAAUCAUCUUUGAAUAUAAUUUUCAGUGUAAGAAUGAAACUUAAUAAAUAUUUAUAAUUGUUCUAAAUAUUGUCUUUGUAGUUCUUCUUCUUCUCUUUUUCUUUUUAAAUCUCCAUGUAUACUUUAAACACUGGGAUACUAGUCACUGUGAAUGGUUUGGUUACCAUGAUUAACUGGGAACACUGUUGCCAGUUAAUUUGACUGUCCAGUUAACAGAGCGGUCACUAACUGGGAGCUGCUUGCUGUCAUGUACUGUAGUGUUAAUACUGCAAACACAAUUUUGUGUGUAUGUAAUUUUAUUAACAUUUUUAUCAUCAUGCUUUUUCUAUUAAAGUUUCUGUGCACUGCUGAGAGUGGAAUUGAGUAUUUAUUUAUUGUUUUUAAAAUCUGUAUUAAACUACUUUGUUGCCAGAAUGAUGCAUUGUGCAGUUUAGAUGAUCGGUCACACUUUCAUGUUUAGAUUCAGGCAGAGACUCUGUGCAAGUGUGUUUAAUGUCUAAAUCAUGGCUCACCAACCUUUUUCCAUUUAUUUAUUUAUAUAUAUAUAUCUUCGUGAGUUUUUUUUUUUUUUUUUUUUUUUUUAAUAAUAGAUGUGACUUUUUUUUUUUAUAUAUAUAUAUAUAUAUAUAUAUAUAAAUAUAUUGCAUGCCAUUAUCUCUCACACACAAAGUGUAUCUUACUGAAUUUAAAAUAAAACAAUGCCUUGACACUUGCUGUUUUUGUGAUCAGUAAUGCCAGUCGAUGAGCUGCUGGAAAAUGCAACAGUAGAAGUACAUAAAUGUAUCUUCAUGUUAAAUUAAAAUCUUUUCUGUAAUUUGCAAGAUCAAAACAAACAACAACACCACACCCAGAGCAAAUCAGAACGAAGCAACCUUGACCAUUCAUGACACCCAUAGAAGCCUUAGAGAAGCAUCAGAUGCCUUUACAAAAACAGACAUUCCUGCUGCGCAGACAAAGCUGGCUGCUCUAAAGUCGAUCAUUGCAGACCAGAAGCAAAGAAGUUGAGCUGGAUGGCCUCCUGGAGCCAUUUUGACCUGAGCAAUCAGAUCCCAUGGAGAGGGUGAAUCAAAGGCAGCAUAUGUGGAGUGGAGAGUAAGCCUUAUACAGAUGAACCUGUUUGACAACCUAAGAAUUUCUCAAUCAAAGUCAAGAUCACUUGUUAAUAUUAAUAAUAAAAUAAAAACUAAACUCCUGACAGUACAUGGCGUUUUGAUUGUUUAUCUCGUAAAUAUAUAUAUAUCUUUUUAUUUUAGUGUGUGUGUGUGUGUGUUUUGGUUACAUGUGACUUUAGUUGCAAAUAUAGCCAACAUGCAUGCGCACACACACACACACAUACACAAAUCUAAAAAAGUCACAAAUGCAAUCUGCUACUGUGUGAAAAUUUGAUGUUAUUUACAGGUGUGCAGAAAAUUAGCAUUAUCGAUCAGCUUCUGCUCAGGGGAAGUAGGGAUCAUCUGUGGCAGUGUAAUUUGUCUCCACAUAUGCUCAAUUCAAAGAAGCAAUCCUCAAAUCUUUUUUUCAGUUUUCAUUUAUUUUUGCAUGAGGAAACAUCUCAUCCUUCAUCAUAAUGCCUGUGAGUGUCCAGUCAGCAUGCAUCAUUUGAUCAACGUUUCAAAAUAUAUUUUCAAAAAGAAAAUCUUUUCCACAUUAGCUUCAACAGUACAAAAGGAAAAUGCGUCUUUUGGUUUCUUUUUGCACCGUUUGAAUCUAAUUUAGGAAAAGCCAUCAUACUUCCGAUU